CACGUAGGGCGCGAGCGUUGUCCGGAAUUAUUGGGCGUAAAGAGCUCGUAGGCGGCUUGUCGCGUCGGCUGUGAAAACCCGCGGCUCAACUGUGGGCGGGCAGCUGAUACGGGCAGGCUGGAGUUCGGUAGGGGAGACUGGAAUUCCUAGUGUAGCGGUGAAAUGCGCAGAUAUCAGGAGGAACACCGGUGGCGAAGGCGGGUCUCUGGGCCGAUACUGACGCUGAGGAGCGAAAGCGUGGGGAGCGAACAGG
rnacentral:rRNA from 1 species